rfam:Myotis lucifugus cont2.47181, whole genome shotgun sequence.
GGCGGUUCUCGAGUGACGCACCCCGGAAUUGGGCUCCCUCCUCUCUGGUUCUGGGUGUGUCACCCGAGAACCGCA